UACGUAGGGUGCAAGCGUUGUCCGGAAUUAUUGGGCGUAAAGAGCUUGUAGGCGGUUUGUCGCGUCUGCUGUGAAAUUUCGGGGCUCAACCCCCGAACUUGCAGUGGGUACGGGCAGACUAGAGUGUGGUAGGGGAGACUGGAAUUCCUGGUGUAGCGGUGAAAUGCGCAGAUAUCAGGAGGAACACCGAUGGCGAAGGCGGGUCUCUGGGCCGUAACUGACGCUGAGGAGCGAAAGCUGGGGAGCGAACAGG
rnacentral:rRNA from 1 species